AGCGGGGUGGAGCAGUCAGGAGUGCUCGCGGGGCUCAUAACCCCGAGGUCGGAGGUUCAAAUCCUCUCUCCGCUA
rnacentral:tRNA from 1 species